UACGUAGGGGGCUAGCGUUGUCCGGAAUCAUUGGGCGUAAAGCGCGUGUAGGCGGUCCGGUACGUCCGCUGUGAAAGUCGGGGGCUCAACCCUCGGAUGCCGGUGGAUACUGUCGGGCUUGAGUACGGAAGAGGCGAGUGGAAUUCCUGGUGUAGCGGUGAAAUGCGCAGAUAUCAGGAGGAACACCAAGUGCGAAGGCAGCUCGCUGGGACGUUACUGACGCUGAGACGCGAAAGCGUGGGGAGCAAACAGG
rnacentral:rRNA from 1 species